GUGCGGCAGCCAGGGCGCCCCCGGGUGGGCAGAGGCUGGGUGUGGCUGAGGGGCAUGGACGGGGGGUAUGACCUGGAGAAGGGCUCUGCUUCUGGGCCUUCGUGUCCUCGCCAUUAAAACGAGGGCCUCUGCCCAUCCAGCUGGGCUUCAGUCCUCCCGAGGCCUUCCCUCACUUGGCUCAGCUUCCGGGGCACCCACCCAGACUGAGUGGUACCUGGCCCCUGCCCCCUUGAGGGGCUCCUGUCCUCCCAGCGUGACCACACGUGGGUGCCACCGCCCCUCAGCAUCUUCUCCUGCCUCAGCCUCCUUCUGCCUCCCCCAACCUGGUGACUGUCACCCACCGAACCCUGUGAGCAUCCCCUCUGAGCAGUGUGCGUGGGUUGGGUCAGCCCGUUGAGAGGAGGCUGUGGGAGGUGAGGAAAGUAGCCAAGCCCAAGCCUCCAAGAAUGUGCCAAGCAAGUGCAAGGCCCUGAGUUCAAUUCCCGGUACCAAAACAAGAAAAAAGAAUGUGCCCAGCAGAAGGGCCACCAGGGCUGACGGAGAAUGUCCAGGGUUAGGAGCAGAGCGAUCCAGGGGCCAGGGGCAGAGGUGACGGUCAGAGAAGAAGGGGUGGGGGAGCUGGCCUCCCCCUGGGCCUCAGGGCAGGCAGCGGACUCUGGAGACGUGGUUGGACAUGCUUGGAAGAAAGAGCAGAAAAGUUUGCCCAUGGCCUGAUGCAGGCUCUCAAGGGUGGGAGGAGCCAAGAGCAACCCCAAGGUCGUGGCCUGAGUACCACAAGGACGGCACUGAGGGCAGCCCUGUGGUCAGGAGUGGCCUUCUUAGUCACCCAGAGCCCUGUCGGCUCACAUCGGGCCCACGUCCACACCAAGCAUGUUGCACUGGGACCCGCGGGUGCUCAAAAUACACGGUGAAUGUUUGCGUUUUUUAAAAUGUGUUACAGUAAGACACAUUGCCACUAAUCCCCCUCAGACUCUUCUCUCUCACUUCAAACACACUCAUCCCAUCAUUCCUGCCGCUUUCUGAAGCAGUUCUGGGAGUCGUCUCUCGUGCCUUUAUGAGGUGUGACCAGAAAUACAGUGAAUGCUGCUGCCGAGCAGAAAGGGUCAUAAAGACCACACUGGGGACAUGGACACAGCCAUGGCAGCACAACGAAAGACACUCGUGGGACAGGACUUGCAGAGCUGCUGCAGAAAGAGGCAAGGAUGGGAUAAGGAAUUCUUUGAGCGGGAUUAAUGGCAAAGCAUCUUUUACUGUAAUGAACCUUUUAAAUUAAACAUUGGCUGUAUUUUUCCAUCGCACCUUGUAAAUGUGAGGAGAGGCAGUGUGCGGAGAGGAAGCUGAGGUCAAGAACACGGGAGCCAGGUGUCAGCACAGAGCGGGCCUCACUGGGCGGACGCAGCCCGGAACACAAGAGGACGCUGCAGAGCCCCUCAUGGUGGGGUCGCAGGGGAGCUCCUGUGUUGCUCCUUGUUUCGUGUCUCGUCCGCUGUCCUGUUGCGGGUGUCGCUGAAGGUAGAGCUGCCUCUACCCUGGCUGCCUGUUUCUGAGGGCCUCCUGGCCCCGGAGCGCAGCCCUGGGGGUGUGGCCGCAGUCACAAGGCCGAGGCCGGCGGCAGGUGGGAGGCCAGCACAGGUGGGUCCAGUGCUGCUGGCGCAGGUGGGCAGGGCUGGCACUUGGAAAGAGCGGGACUGAAACCAGCGGAGAAUAAAGACCUUUUGCGUUUCUGGAGCCUCACAUUGGCACUGCGGGGCCAGCUGGCUCACAGGCCAGGCGCCCAGUCUGAACUGGGAUGAGCUGUCAGACAAUGAAUCCCCUCUCCCUCAUCUCUUAUCAGUGUCACGCUGCGUGUUUAGCCAGUGUCAACACAAAGGUCACCGCGUGUGGCUGCCACCACCCCACUCUCAGGCCCAUCUCUGUUUCUCCUGGGCUCCUCUCCCAGGUCCUCAUUCCUGAUUCCUGAUCCCUGAAGCAGCUGAGGCUGGGUGAGGCCCUCAGUUCCUUCAUGGACCCCACUCGAAUAGCUGUAGCAAAUUCAGCAGUUCAGGAAGUGCCCGGCUUGUUUGUGAUGGCUUUGACACAUUCCCAAAAGGACACCCACUGGGUGGCCUGGCUUGCAGAGCCCACCGAGGCUGUGGACAGAAGAAAGUGCGUGCGGGGAGCAUUGUAAAGCCAGGUUUGCUAAGAAACAAGCCACUCGUCACCUGGAGAAAACGCCCCUAUUGGCAAUGCUGGCGGGUUUCUGCCGUCCGUUCAGCCCUAGGUCAACCCGAAUCUCCCCCUGGAGUCCCUCAUUCCUGUCACUGGGGAGAUAAAAAUGUUGUUAUUGCUAAUGUCAUCAAACACAAAGUCGUGCCAAAGUAAUCCUUGGAGGGGACACAUGGGAGCAGCCCCAGCCUGCGAGCCCUGCCCUCCUCAGAAGAGCCUGGAACCAUGGAGCCUUAGCCCGGAUGCCGAGAGCCUGCAUGGUCACUUGGGUGAGGCUUGCUUGGUGUCCAGCUUGCUCGGUGUCAUGCUUAUCUCAAGUCCUGUCAGCAGCUACUUCCUGCACGGUGGGGCAGCGCUAGGUUGUGGCUGUGGCAGAAAUGAUUGCACCCUAAGCCCAGGAGGAAGGAGCAGACGGUCAUCGCAGGGCGUGGGUGAGUCAUGCCUCGGGCUCCACAGGGCACAGCCCGUAAGCCAAAUAUCAGGCUGCUAACCUUCCCAGAAAGGCAAAUAGGUGGUGGCAUGGAGUCUGAUCUCUGCAAACAGCCGGGAAUUCCCGAGACGAUCAGUGAAAGAUCUCUCAGUGACAGACAUGGGCGGCCGAGGCUCAGGGGAGAAUGGCAAGAAGAGGAACUUGGAAGCCCCUCAGCUGGGCCACUUGGCACACACACGGGCAACUCCAGGCUGAAGAAACAAGGUGAAAACAGGAAAUCGGCUCCUGCUCAGGGCCUGAAGGUUGACUGUUGUCCAAGAUCCUGACAGGGGUCUCUGGAGCCCUCGCCUCUGGGCCCUGUCACUCGGGCGUCACCACCUUCUUCCUCCACGUCAUUUCCGUCACCGCAUUGGCCAUUCCCCCAGGAGGACCUCCAGGCGCAGCAGCACAUUCCUCUCCCUCAUCAUCAUUCCUGAGACAGAUCCAUGUCACCAGGACUGGGAUCAUGGACUUGCUCCUUGUCACUGUGAAUCCCUUCCCCUCCUUCCCCAGUUGUCCCCUGGGAAACCCUGGUUUCCUCGGUUGCCAUGAUGUCUGUCAUCUAGGUCCUCCUUGGACUCUCUCUUCAGUCAUCAGGAGCACAUCCUGCAGCUGCUUUCUCAGGAGUGUCUUGGGGUGUACAUUUGGUAUCUGAGAACGUGCCACUUGGCUGUGGGUAAAACCCCAGCUCCCACGCUCCCUGCAGGAUCCCAGGAACGUUGCUCCCCAGGGUGGACAGCACGAUGCCAUGCCACCACCCCUGAGACACAUGACCGUGCCCCAGUGCCAAGAGUCUGGCAACGUUUUAGGCUCUGGCAAAGGAGAAUGAAGGUUGCGGGUAGCAUCGGGGCUGCUGGUAAGCUGAGCUGGACCUGGGGAAUUGCCCUGAAUCUUCUGCGUGGGCCCAGUGCAUGGCAGGAGCCUUAUAAAUGGGAGGCAGAGGGAAGCAGGAUAGAAAGAGGUCAGACUGAGCCCUGCCAGAAGACAGCACCUGGCCAGCUUUGGGGAUAGAGGUCCCUUCGGAGACUGGGACAGGCCCGGGACUGGCUCUCCCCAGCCCGCCACACCUUCAUUUCAGCUCCAAAGCCCCUGGCUCAGACACGGGCAUCCAGCCCUGCAGUCUGGUCCCCAGAACUGUAAGAUGCAGCACCUCCGCCAAGUCAUGGUUCAGAGUUCAAGGCCUCAGUCAUUCGAGAAUUUUUCCUUAGAACCUAGUAAUUGAGGAAACCCCUGACACUUGGGGGAAACCGCAAAGAUCCUCCGCAAUUGUUUUUUUGGCGGAAGGUUAGCAAGUAGCCAAUCCGAGAGCACUAUUCAGUUCUCCUUGCUGCUGAUUGGCUGCUGCCCGGUGCCAUCUCCAUGUAACCGGCUGCAUGCUCUGGGUUUUGUUCUCUUAAAGCCUCAAGGUCCCUAAGGUGCCGCCAAAACGCCCUGCACCUUCUCAGGCUUUAUUAAUACAGAAUUUAUUACAUUAAAUCACCUAACUGCAGGAGACAUUACAUAUUUAGGGCUUAAACGAUAAAAAUAGGCAUUGAUAGGCAUUUUUGUGACCCUAUCUGAAACUUGCAGUUUUUGACAGUUCUUGGGUGCUCUCGGAAUGUGAACCCCCCCCCCCAAAUUUCAGGGAUCCAUUGUCGUUGUUUUGGGCCCAGAAUGUGUGAAGUCUUGUCUGGCGGUGCAGGAUGCGAAUCCACUGCUCAUCACUUCUGGCUUGGCCUUCUGCAGAGGGGGCGACUGCUCCUCACCACAGCAGCCGGUUCUGCCCACCCAGCGUCCAGCAACACCUUCAUGUGGGGGCUCCCACUCUCUGUGGCUGCUGUUCUCAGGCUGGGAGCAUCUUCAUGCCUCCCUGGCAUGAUCCCUGCUUGUGUGGCACAGCCGGAAACUCACGUCCCACCCAGCUGUGCCAGACGUGCAGGCCUCUUGCUUCCUGCCUGACUCGGGUCUCCCAUCACAGCUCCCGACGUGGUGUCCCACGGUGACCCAAGAUCACUUACUCCAUGCCCCUGGGGCCCCACUGCCCAGGACCUACUUACCCCUGGGGGUUCGCUCUCCUCUCUGUUGCCACCACUGCGUUCCUUUCUCUGCACCCUGAAGGGAAAAGCAAACUGAAUUCAAAACCAGCAGUUCUCAAGCCAUUAAGCCUCAGGUUCCCUUUCCAUUGUUAAAUUACCAAGAACCCCCAACAGUGUCAUGUAUGUGCAUUACAUCUAUCAAUAUGCACCACAUUAGAACUUAAAAUGAGGAGUUUUAUCUAUUCAUUCACUUAAAAAUAACAGCAGUAAGCCACUUCCAUAUUAACAGAAACAUCAUUUUUAUGAAAAAUAACUAUUUUUCUGAAACAAAAGCAUGACUGAGAAGAGUGGCUUUGAUCUACAUUUUCAAGACCCCCUUCAACAUCUGGCAUAGCAGGACACAGAAGAAUUCCAGCUUGCUCUGCAUGCGGUGUGCUUAUGAACAAAGCGUUUGAAGAAAAUCUAGCCUAAUACACAUCUGUGGCUGGGCAAUGGAGGAGUAGAGCCUUUUUCCAGAUGAUUAUGGACACUAUGUUUCAUUACUACUUGAAAACCCAGCACUUGGAAGUUUCCUCAAGGUUAGUUGUGAUGUGGACUCAAAUAUCGCAGACCUUUGCCUGCUGUUACUUUGACUCACUGGCCUGUCUUGCACUUGGAGUGAAUCUCCUACCCGUGUGUGAUUUUUGUGACACUGCACACUGUCAUUUAACAAACACUGUCUCUCUGAGUAAUGCAGGUCCCCGAAUUAACGUACCUUAUUAUGCAUGACAAAGGGAAACCACAGAACUCACUCCAGGUUGGAAACUGUCAAGCUCAGAGACAAAGACAUGAGUUUUCCAACACGCUACUUUGUGAUUGAAACUUUUGGUUUUGUCAGUGGCAAUAAAUGCUCUGGUUCUUUUCCUCGAA